rnacentral:rRNA from 1 species
AUGGCACGAUGGCGGCUGCCCCACGCCGCCGCAUGCGCGGCCAGGACCACCUGCGCCCCUACUCUAGGCACCGCGGGGGCGAUGAUGACGACGAGGAGGCGGGCGACCGCGACCACGGGCGUGGGCGUCGGGGCGAGUCGCGCCUUGCUCGACGCACCGGCCUGCUCGGCUGCCGCUCGGAUGGCUCCAUGCGCGGCGCCACCUCGGAUGGGCGUCGUUCGCAUGGCUCUUCAUCCCGCCACGGGCGCCAUCGUAACGCGUCAUCAGGCUCCAUCCACGGGUGUAGCACCUCGCGCGGCUCCAACAGUGGUCAGUCGCGCCGCAGCCGCUCGAGGUCACGUGACCAGUGAUACGUCUCCAACGUAUCUAUAA